UACAGAGGGUGCAAGCGUUGUUCGGAAUUAUUGGGCGUAAAGCGCGUGUAGGCGGCUUAGCAAGUCGGGCGUGAAAGCCCUCGGCUCAACCGAGGAAGUGCACCCGAAACUGCUGAGCUUGAGUGCCGGAGAGGAUGGCGGAAUACCCCAAGUAGAGGUGAAAUUCGUAGAUAUUAGCUAGAACACCAGUGGCGAAGGCGGCCAACUGGUCCGGUACUGACGCUGAGGUGCGAAAGCGUGGGGAGCAAACAGGG
rnacentral:rRNA from 1 species